CCUACGGGAGGCAGCAGUGAGGAAUAUUGGUCAAUGGACGAGAGUCUGAACCAGCCAAGUAGCGUGAAGGAUGACUGCCCUAUGGGUUGUAAACUUCUUUUAUAUGGGAAUAAAUUGUUCCACGUGUGGGAUUUUGUAUGUACCAUAUGAAUAAGGAUCGGCUAACUCCGUGCCAGCAGACGCGGUAAUACGGAGGAUCCGAGCGUUAUCCGGUUUUGUUGGGUUUAAAGGGAGUGGAGGUGGAUUUGUAAGUCAGUUGUGAAAGUUCGCGGCUCAACCGUAACAUUGCAUUUGAAACUGGCAGUCUUGAGUACAGUAGAGGUGGGCGGAAUUCGAGGUGUAGCGGUGAAAUGCUUAGAUAUAACGAAGAACUCCGAUGGCGAAGGCAGCUCACUGGACUGAAACUGACACUGAGGCUCGAAAGUGUGGGUAUCAAACAGGAUUAGAUACCCGAGUAGUC
rnacentral:rRNA from 1 species